UUCGCAAUUUUGCCCAUCAUUUCGUGGCAGUUCUUCCCUCUGGUCGAAGGAUACCGCGGCCACGAAGCUGGUUUGCUGCUGCUACGAAAAAACCCUUUUACGGUUGCUAUCGACACAUCGCUUCUCCUCGGCGUCUCUGAUAAUUGCAUCUUCGGGUAGAUCCUCAUACUCAACCCUAUAAUCGUGUUCGCUUUCCCAAUCUAUAUCCCCGGGCCUGCUUGGUUUCCGCUUUCCCGAUUUAUGUAUUGAGGUCUUACACCGGGGUCUAAUUGCCCGCUUUUCUUCCAUAUGUUUCCCACGAUAUAUAUUGAUUGUGGUGAAUUUCACGGGGCUUAACUUAUAGAUUCGCUCCGAAUUGAUUUUUUAGGUUUCCUUGUUUCCAAUUUUCAUACCUUGUUUCUAGAGUUUAAAUGGCUGCCGGUCGUCACGGUGCCUACCGAGAUGACGAGCUUAGGGAUAGAGAUUCUGAUUUAGAGAUUACAGCGAGGAAGGAUUAUUACCAGGAGCGCUUUCGCGAAGGGGACGGCGAACGGGUACGGAGAGAUCUAAAGGAUAGGGUUAGGGUUAGGGAGAAGGAAGCCUUGAACGGUUCUUAUCGCUCUCCCCUGUCAAGCAACUCUUUCGUCGCUGGUAAGGCUAGUAAUCGGCUUUCUAGAAGGUCUGCAGACCGUGAGCCAGGCGAGCUGUCUAGCGGAAGUGGGUCGGAUGACCCUGAUGUGCCUCCUUACAGGGGCACAGUUAACGGCGUGGAGAAACCGGAAGACGGUGAUGUGUCAGCUGUUCGAAAGAGAAAAUUCUCUCCAAUCAUAUGGAACAGAGAUGAUGAUAGGAGGUCAUCUACUGGUAAUUCCAGGAGCAGGAGUGAUCUUGUGCAUCCAGUUUCACUUCCUCCACCACCUCCAUUGCUACGUGGGCACAUGUUGUCCAGACCAGUGGAGGUAGUGCGGCAGUUGCCAGACCAGGCCUUACAAUUGUCUGUAGAAGUUUUUGUAGAUUCACCGCAAGAUCAGAACGAUGAAAUCAAUGUUUUGAGGCCUGGUCAGGUGGAGGAUCAUGAGGAUGACAUUGCUCCAGCACGUCACAUCUCCACUUCCCGGUGGGCAGACAGAAACAAUGCCAUGGAAGAUGAUGAAGCUAAGGUAUUUGGCGAGGAAUUUGUGAGGAAAAAGAAGAAAAGUACCCCUUUAACUGUAUCAGGGGAACAAUACCAAUUACUGAAAAAGUUGCAAAGCCCUGAGAUUGGUGAGGUGAGGGAAUGUUCUGAAGGGGCUGAUUCUCAGUCUUAUAAUAGUUCCAGUGGUCGCAGUGGGGAUGAUGAACAAAACAUUGGGUCUCAGAGCAAUGACUCUAUGGAUAUUGAUGUGGAAGAGGUUAAAGAUGAUGCUAGUGUUCAUAUUUUGGACUCUGAUCAUGAGAAUUUCAGUGGUGAGGCUAAGACACCGGAGCCAAUGCAACCACCUCAAAGAAGCAUAAACAUGCUGCAAGGAUGUAGAAGUGUUGAUGAAUUUGAAAGGUUGAACAAGAUCGAUGAAGGCACUUAUGGAGUUGUCUACAGAGCAAGGGACAAAAUGACUGGGGAAAUUGUGGCGUUGAAAAAGGUGAAGAUGGAGAAGGAGAGGGAGGGCUUCCCAUUGACAUCUCUUAGGGAAAUUAAUAUUUUGUUAUCUUUUCACCAUCCAUCUAUUGUAGAUGUAAAGGAAGUUGUUGUUGGAAGCAGCCUUGAUAGUAUCUUCAUGGUUAUGGAGUAUAUGGAGCAUGAUCUCAAAGGCUUGAUGGAGACAAUGAAGCAGCCAUUUAGCCAGAGUGAGGUCAAGUGCUUAAUGUUGCAGCUUUUGUCUGGAGUGAAGUACUUGCAUGAUAACUGGGUUCUUCAUAGGGAUCUAAAGACAUCAAAUCUCUUAUUAAACAAUCGCGGUGAGUUGAAAAUAUGUGAUUUUGGUUUAGCUCGUCAAUAUGGGAGUCCUUUGAAGCCUUAUACUCACUUGGUCGUGACUUUGUGGUACAGAGCGCCAGAACUUCUCCUAGGUACAAAACAGUAUUCAACUGCAAUUGACAUGUGGUCGCUAGGAUGCAUAAUGGCUGAAUUUUUGGCAAAGGAGCCGUUAUUCAAUGGGAAGACCGAGUUUGAUCAACUUGAUAAGAUAUUUAGAACCCUUGGCACUCCAAAUGAGAAGAUAUGGCCAGGGUUUGCAAAGUUACCAGGUGUCAAAGUAAACUUUGUUAGGCAGCCGUAUAAUAGGCUGCGCGAGAAGUUUCCGCCCACUUCAUUUUCUGGGCGUCCCACUCUUUCGGAGGCUGGUUUUGACUUACUGAAUAAACUUCUGACUUAUGACCCUGAGAAGCGCAUCACUGCUGAAGAUGCUCUCAACCAUGAUUGGUUUCGUGAGGUUCCUCUUCCUAAAGAGAAGGAUUUCAUGCCAACAUUUCCUGCCCAGCAUGCCCAAGACAGGCGCUUGCGAAGAAUAAUGAAGAGUCCUGAUCCAUUGGAGGAGCAGCGAAGGAAGGAAUUGCAACAGGGGGAGCAGGUCUCUACUGGGCUAUUUGGUUAAGAAUAGUGAAAGCGUAGCCAGUAAACUGUUGCAUAUCAAUGCUUCUUGUCCUGAUUUGGAAGUAUUCAUAGGGAUAUAUUACUUUGAGGUGAGAGACGCGUUGCAAGUAAAGUUCUGCAGCUUGUGUUAGUGUCGGGUGACAAUUUAAUACUGUUCUUCAGCAGGCACCCGUGAUGAUAUUGGUGGACUUAAAAUAUAGUUUUAUCCACCAAACGAUUUUGUUGCAGGCAUUUUUGCUCUUGUCAGCAAUGAUCAUAAACAGUUCGUCCUUUAUGCAGCCUGGAUCACAAGAGAUGAUUUGUGUGAAGUGGAGAGGGCAUAACUCACUCUUCAGUGCCAAAGAAUCUGAAGGUUUCCUUCGAUUUUUGAGUUGUCGGCAGUUUGAAGAGUUGACCUGUGAAUGUCCAUAUGUACUUUUUCCUGCCAAAGAGAUUUACUGUGGCAAUUUCACCAUUCUGCUCUCUUCGCCUGGUGAUGACUGCUAUAGGAAAUUGCAACUUUCGUAAUGCAGCCGUGAAUAGAUGGGAGAUUCGUGUGUCAUUUUAGUUGUAGGUUGCCAUUCGUAGAACUACUGAAGCUGUAAUAUGUGUUACAACCGUUUCUUUCCUAAAAAUCUAAAGAUUCCAUAUAAAUUGUUCAUAUGUAGAAGAAAAUUUUCACAGUUCAUUUGGAUUCGAACUACCAUUCGUAUAUGGUGAUUCUUAGCCUAUGUUUGCUAAUCUGAUGGCCUGUAAUCACUUCUUGGAUAUAUUUCGUGUUAUAAUAAUCAUUGUAAUGUUAUUAUUGCUUGCUCAAGAAGGGUGGUGGUUUUCUUAUUCUUAGCUGGUCUGCCCAUUUAUUUGAAAAGCUAAUAUUAUGUAACUUUUUCUAAUUGGAAAGACGCUGUGAUCAUGGUUCAUUAGAUUUAGGCCUUCUUCAAAUCUUGCAGAAUUACUUCAUUUUAGACUUAGUUUUAAAGUCAUUUGCAGGAAACACAGACCAAAAAAAGCAAAACCUGAUUUUUUUUACAGGUUGCUUAGUCAAACAGUGGAUUGAACGAGUUGGCAUCGUAAGGUAUAUAAAGGUAUACUGUGUAUAUGCGUUCAGUUGAACAAGUUUUAUUUUAUCUUUGUUUCCUUCAUUUACCAUGAAGUGGUGAUAGUUAUAGCUUUCGUAGUUUGCAUAGCAAUUUUGACUCUCGUACUUGAAGGCGUCUAUUAAGCUUCUUGCUGGACGCCUUGCUUGCGGAGGGUGGUCCUGGAUUUGAUGUAGAGGGGAAAUGAACAGAUUGUUUGUACUGGUGACAAUUAAAUGGCUGGUUCAAUUUUUCUUUUUUCUUUUGAAAGGAUAUUAAUUAUAUAUAUAUUAUACUUUAUAAGUA